GGCGACAGGAAUUCUUUGGAUUGAGAUUAAUGAUGAAUUCGAGUAUUUUCAUUAAAACAAAAAAUCUUGAAGAAAUAGCAUUCAAAACCUGUAUUUAUUUAUUUUUGGAAUGGAAGAAGCUUUUUAUUGUAAAAUUUUUUUAUUUAACUUACAUUGUUUGAUUUUAUCAAAUGGCAAAUUGUGUAAUUACCGGUAUUGUACAUAUUUUUUUAACGACCAAAUUAUAAUUACAAGUUGUGCAAUAACUAUACUAAUUAUCCCUCCAUACUGUUGAGUCAGUAUUGUUAUUAACUGUUGAUUAUGUUAAAAUUUAACAUUGUCAGAUAUUAUUGUUAUGUGUAAAUAUAUCUAUUAUUUAUUGACAUUAUGUGUAGUGCCAUACAAAAUAAUUGUUGAAUGACAAGAAGGGAAAGAUUUACAUAUCAAAGACUGCAUGUCACAAAAAAAAAUUAAAUCACAUUUUUUCUGAAAAUUGGUGCAUACUUCAAAUUAAAAUUUAUUAAAUUUUGUUUGUUUGUAAUACAAAUUAUAACAUUAAGGGAGUUUGCAUGACCAACCUAUCCUUUUAUAACCCCAUUAAAGGAUGGUUCCAAACAAGUAAGAAUAUUGAAAACAAAAUAAUUGUACUUUUUACUGAUCUCACAUGUGCAGAAAAACUAAAAAAAAAACUUUAAAUUUUGGCAAACUUUCUCCUGACCAUGGCUAAACUGAGUGUAAAUUAAGCAAGACAGACUUUUUGCAGUUUAUGAAAUGUGUUAAAUAAACAGUAAGAUAUAUAUACAGUUUUAUUGAUGCAUUUAGUUAGAUUAAACAACUGUUUUGUAUGGCAAAAUGUGAUUGUACUCGUUCUAUGCAGUAAGCAUGAAAAAAAAGUUUUAUACAUUUAUAUAUUUUUAAAAUGCAAAAAUGGUGCAAAAAAGAAUAAAAUUUAAAAAC
rnacentral:lncRNA from 1 species